GGGGAAUCUUGGACACUGGGGGCAACCCUGAUCCAGCAAUGCCGCGUGGGUGAAGACGGCCUGCGGGUUGUAAAGCCCUUUUAGCGGGGACGAAAGGCCGCGUGCGAACAGUGCGCGGUGGUGACGGUACCUGCGGAAGAAGCACCGGCUAACUCCGUGCCAGCAGCCGCGGUAAUACGGAGGGUGCAAGCGUUAAUCGGAGUGACUGGGCGUAAAGGGCGCGUAGGCGGUUAACUAAGUCGGUUGUGAAAGCCCCGGGCUCAACCUGGGAAUGGCAAUGGAGACUGGUUAACUAGAGUGCAGACGAGGACCGUGGAAUUCCCGGUGUAGCGGUGAAAUGCGUAGAGAUCGGGAGGAACACCGAUGGCGAAGGCAGCGGUCUGGGUUGACACUGACGCUGAGGCGCGACAGCGUGGGGAGCAAAC
rnacentral:rRNA from 1 species